CGGCGGACGGGUUAGUAACGCGUGGGAACGUGCCCUUUGCUCUGGAAUAGCCCUGGGAAACUGGGGGUAAUACCGGAUGUGCCCUGAGGGGGAAAGAUUUAUCGGCAAGGGAUCGGCCCGCGUCUGAUUAGGUAGUUGGUGAGGUAACGGCUCACCAAGCCGACGAUCGGUAGCUGGUUUGAGAGGAUGAUCAGCAACACUGGGACUGAGACACGGCCCAGACUCCUACGGGAGGCAGCAGUGGGGAAUCUUAGACAAUGGGCGCAAGCCUGAUCUAGCCAUGCCGCGUGGGUGAUGAAGGCCUUAGGGUCGUAAAGCCCUUUCGCCGGGGAAGAUAAUGACGGUACCCGGUAAAGAAACCCCGGCUAACUCCGUGCCAGCAGCCGCGGUAAUACGGAGGGGGUUAGCGUUGUUCGGAAUGACUGGGCGUAAAGCGCGCGUAGGCGGAUCAUCAAGUCGGGGGUGAAAUCCCGGGGCUCAACCCCGGAAUGGCCUUCGAGAC
rnacentral:rRNA from 1 species